UUCCUCCAUAAGAUAAGAAAAAAGAACUUACUAUCUUUGGGAUCUGAUGCUUCACCGUUGCUAAAUACUUUAGUGGAUCGACUCUAUUACAUAAGUUGAUUCCUAACUUUUAUCCCGUAUUAUGGCAUAAGUAAGCAAAGCAGUUCUUAACUCUAUCGACCCAAUAGUUUGUUAAUUGAUCUUUACGGUGCUUUCUCUAUCAAUUCAAUCCUUUAUCCAUAGAGUAUAGUAUAUAGGCUGUAUCUAUUUCUUCCUAUUUUGGUUCUCGUGAAGUCUCUUUAUUUGCUACAGCUGAUAAAAAUCGUUGCUUUAGACGAUGCAUAUGUAGAAAGCCUAUUUUUUCUAGUCUUUACUAGUCGAUUGGAUCUUUUUUUCCUUCUUUCUAUAGUGGAGAUAGUCGCACGUAAUUGUUGGGCUGGCAGCCCACAGAUUCAGCCCAUAGUGGGCUUGGGCAGCCCACAGCCCACACCCCCUCUUAACCUAACCCUAAUUAACAUUAGGGUGGUGUGGUGGCUGCGUUUUUUGGUAGAAAAAGGCAUAAAUAGGGCAGCAACGUGGGAGAAGAAAAUAGCCAUGGGAUUCCAAAGAAAAGGAGGAAAACAAGGCAGAAAAGGAAGAGAAAGAAAGGGAAGAAUACAAGGACAAUGUAGAGAGGCUGUUCUCAAUCAUCUAGUAGUGUUCUCAUCUCAGGUUAGAUCAAAUCUAUAGUAGACUCUUGCUGUGAUUACUUGGGGAGGCUUUUAGAUAUUGUAGGUAGUGACGUGAUCCUUGUAUCCCAGUUAUUCUCUUGUGAUUGUUGCUAGGGUUUAGGGCAAGAGAUUGAUAUUUGUAUAUUCAUUAUUCUCAUAGUGGAUUAUCUCUAGUUUACCCCGUGGUUUUUACCCUUCACAUUGAAGGGGUUUUUCACGUAUAUCUUAGUGUUCUAUUUUAUUGUCGUUUCAUUUAAUUCCGCUACGUAUUAAGGUCUUCUAGUAUUUGUUCAUAUACAAAGAUUAUUCCUGUUUAUAUCCCCAUCAGUAAUGACAGAUCACGGCCAUAUUAUUAAAAGCUUGUGGUAAGAAUGGGUUUCGCUCUAGUGCCCGGAAAUAAUAUUCCAAAGCCUUUGUAUGCUCUCC
rnacentral:lncRNA from 1 species